rnacentral:rRNA from 1 species
UGCAAGUCGAGCGAGGCCAUGUGAGCUUGCUCCGGAAGCCUAGCGGCGAACGGUCGCGUAACACGUAAGCAACCUGCCCCAAAGUUUGGGAUAGCGCUCGCGAAAGGGGGAUUAAUACCGGAUGUGGAUGUUGAUAUGCAUGUAUUAACAUCUAAAGCAUUUAUGCGCUUUGGGAUGGGCUUGCGGCCUAUCAGCUAGUUGGUGAGGUAACGGCUCACCAAGGCGACGAUGGGUAGCUGGUCUGAGAGGAUGGUCAGCCGGACUGGGACUGAGACACGGCCCAGACUCCUACGGGGGGCAGCAAUUAGGAAUCUUGCGCAAUGGGCGAAAGCCUGACGCAGCGACGUCGCGUGAACGAUGAAGUCUUUCGGGAUGUAAGGUUCUUUUCUGAGGGAAGAAGGAUGUGACGGUACCUCAGGAAUAAGCCCCGGCUAACUACGUGCCAGCAGACGCGGUAAUACGUAGGGGGCGAGCGUAGUCCGAAUAGACUGGGCGUAAAGCGCGCGUAGGCG